AACGAACGCUGGCGGCAUGCCUAACACAUGCAAGUCGAACGAUGCCUCCGGGCAAAUUGGCGCACGGGUGCGUAACGCGUGGGAAUCUGCCCUUGGGUUCGGAAUAACUCUCCGAAAGGCGAGCUAAUACCGGACGAUGACGAAAGUCCAAAGAUUUAUCGCCCAAGGAUGAGCCCGCGUAGGAUUAGCUAGUUGGUGGGGUAAAGGCCCGCCAAGGCGACGAUCCUUAGCUGGUCUGAGAGGAUGAUCAGCCACACUGGGACUGAGACACGGCCCAGACUCCUACGGGAGGCAGCAGUGGGGAAUAUUGGACAAUGGGCGAAAGCCUGAUCCAGCAAUGCCGCGUGAGUGAUGAAGGCCUGAGGGUUGUAAAGCUCUUUUACCCGGGAUGAUAAUGACAGUACCGGGAGAAUAAGCUCCGGCUAACUCCGUG
rnacentral:rRNA from 1 species